GUGUGUGUGUUUGUUUCGACUGUAAAACAAAAAACAAAAAAAAACAAAGAUUGGCAGAAAGGCAAGGAGACGUUUGCUGAGAUGUAUUGAAUUUCAAUAAAAACUGCAAUGAGGAGAAUGAGGCUUGGGCAAUUUUUCAAUUUCUCUUCAUUCUGCCUUGAAUUAGUUGUGGUACACUCUAUUUUUCACCAUGCCCAGCUAAUCAGAUCUCUACCGUGUCCCAUGGGCCUCAACUCAUUUGGUAUGUCCCACGAGUCAUGUGCCAAUCAAAUUGUUCAUCAAUGUCUGCCUCGUUUUUUUUUUCUUUCUCUUUCUUGGUCUCUUACUCCCCACUUGCUUUUAAGCCAUUUCAUUAAAAUGUGUCACAAGAAAACUUAAUGAUGCUGGACGCCAUGCCACAUCAAGAUUUAUUAGAGACUGAGAACCACCGGCAUGGGUCAAAAUGGUGUUGAGAAAAUGUUGACGUUAAGGUGAGAUCAUUUUAAACUCCUGGAGUAAGGCAAAAUAAAAAAUAAAAAUGUUGGACCAAUUUACUAUCAACAAAUGUUGAGACAUGAAGAAGUCAUAAAUAAAACCAAGAAAUCCUCAAAAGAGUAAUUAUUUUGGAUGAACUCUGUAGUCAGGUGGGUGUCUGAUUGUUUGUUCUGUGUUUCGCUUUGAUGCACUGGAGACCUUUACAGGAUGUGUGCCUCCUCUCGCCCAAUGGCUGCUGGAGAAACACCAGACUCCUUCAGCCCUUCAAAAAUAAGGAGGGGAAAAGGCUUCAGGGCUUCACAAUUAUUCCACAAGCUCCAGGAUUCUGGAGGGAACAUCAGGAUGUGUGGAACCUGUGGGUGUGUUAACAAAAUCUCUGGGAAGAAAGACAUCAUCAUUGAUGACAAAAAAGCUAUUUUUACCCAUCAAUCUGGGAAGGGUCGGAAGGCCAAGUCCAAAGUUCUGCAUUUCUAUGAUGAAAACAAUUAUUUAUAAGUGGUGAAAAUUUAAGCCAUCUGCCAAUCUCCCACCAAGAGGCAAAGUAUUCCUAAGAUCAUCACAUUCAAUGCUUAAAGAAACGGGGGGAAAAAAACGGUUUGAUCUCUGUUACUACAGGGCUCAGUUACAUUAAAUGUUACAGUUCAUAUCACAAUGAUUAAAAAAAGCCUGGAGGUUUGCUUGGAGACGGCCUCUGCAAAAAGGAAUAUAGCAGCAUUGCUUCAGUUUGCAAAGUUUCUUCAUAAUACCCUUUGGACAGACAAUGUGAGACCAAAGCAGAUGCUUUUGCCCAUUUUGUGGAAACUAAAAUUAUCAUAGACUAAAUGCAAAUCUUAAGCUCCAUUGUUGAUGAGAGAUGAAUUUGGGUUGUUUUGCCUUCAUCUCCUCUGGUUAAAUGUGAGGCCUUUUUUCUGACAGCAAUGACUUGGCUUGAACUCUGAGCAACAGAAAAUUAUUUCAAACAUAGCAGCAAAUUCACAACAAAAUAGACAUAAUCCGGUUUAACUGCUAUCAUGAGACCUUAAAUGAGAUGUACUGAAUUAAUUACCUGUGAAACUUAUCUCACUGAAACAAUGUUGUAAAAAGAAGUGGGUCAGUUCUUUUUUUUGUUUUCAAGAUACCCAGGCUGAGUUCAACUCAUCCCCUCCAAUGUACCACCUCACCUGGCCAGCCUAAGAUGCCCCAAGGCAACCAUGGCAUCAAGGGCCCCAGGCCAGGGCUUGGAACCAGGGCUUAUAACCAGCGCAAGCACCGGCCCUAAAUCCAGGCAACAUACCCACCAGAAUCAAAGCCCUACAGGAACCCAGCUCAGGGGCAACACACCCCCAGAACCUCGAACCCACCCAGUAACAGACACCCCAUCAGACCAGUAACCUUUGUCUGCCAGUACAGACUGCCUAAAAGCCAGCAUGCAGCCACAAGGAGUCAACCUCCCCAGGUGGGGAUGGCGACCUCCUGCCCCCGGUGGCUCCACUCCUGAGACCCCGUCCCUCUGAUAUCCCCAAACCCGAUCUUUUUUAGGCCCGAUUUCCUCCACAACAAUGUGAGGGUCUGAUAUAGUCGUGUAGAAUAAAACUACUGACAAUUGUUGCUUUUGAAGGUGGUUCUGCAUUAUAUCCCAUGGCAGUACAUCCUCCUUGGUUUAUUCUUCUCACAUUCUCGUUUAGUUCAGACUUGAGAAAUAAAGCCUGCGUAAUUCCUGCAACCUGCCUAUCCUCCGCCUUCUUCUGCGUUGGGAUGUUUUAGCCACCUUUAUUCUCUAUCUAUAGUCACGGUAAAAGGAAAGCACAUAGCAUUCAAAUACCAGGGGUUUCAGGUGCACCAAAUUUUUUCACAGACAAAUCCAUUUUGGGUUUAUCCUUUGUUUGGGAAAGAAUGACAUGAUGGAAUUUGUGGCAUGCGAACGAAUGGAAGAAAGCUUGCCAGUUACCCUUUUACAAAGAGUGCAGCAAUCUAGAAAAUGUCUUAUUCAUCUGGGUUCAGGUAACCUCCCUCUCACAUUCUGGUACUACAGCAGUUGUUACAGCAGAACUCUUCUGUGGUUGUUUUGUACUAAAGAGCGAAAGUCAGCGACACCUAACAGAUUUGAAAAUGAAAAACUAUGUUGAGGGUUCUAAAGGAAAUAUUGUUUUUCCACUUUUCUUUGUUUCUCCCACCUUCUUUUUCUCUGUCACUAUACACAAACCUGCUGAGGCCAGUGGCAAUUCACUUUGUGCUGCCUGAAGGACAAAUGGAGUGGAGAGGGAAAAAGCCCUUCAUUUUUCACUUAAAAGUAAAAAAUAAAAAUUAUUUCAAAGACGCAGUGAAUAAGAUUCUUUGCAUUGUUUUCCGCACAAACUUUCAAUAUCGGCAUUCUUCUGUAAUUUCUUUGCAUAUACAAAGUGAGACUCUACCACUAACUGACAAAGGAUGGUUUUUGUUCCACUCUUGUUUUGAGAACAAUCGUUUAAAACUAAUUUAAAACUAAUCAUAUGAAACCUUGAAGUACGAAGUAUCUUCUGAAAGACUUGAUUUUUGUUAAAUAGGAAAAA